UACGUAGGGUGCGAGCGUUGUCCGGAAUUAUUGGGCGUAAAGAGCUCGUAGGCGGUUUGUCGCGUCGGCCGUGAAAACUUGGGGCUUAACCCCAAGCCAGCGGUCGAUACGGGCAGACUUGAGUUCGGCAGGGGAGACUGGAAUUCCUGGUGUAGCGGUGAAAUGCGCAGAUAUCAGGAGGAACACCGGUGGCGAAGGCGGGUCUCUGGGCCGAUACUGACGCUGAGGAGCGAAAGCGUGGGGAGCGAACAGG
rnacentral:rRNA from 1 species